CAAAGAUGGAGACUCCUGAUCUGGACACAGAUAAUGUUUCCCCACACUCAAAAACCAGUAAACUCCAGGGAGAGAGAUCAGAAUCACCAGCACCCAGCUGUAUCUCCAUGAAGAGUGAUCAGUCUAUGGACACUCCUCUGGAGUUUAAAGAUGGAGACUCCUCACUUCUACACAGUGUUCCACAGAGAGCAGGAGACAGAACAGAAAAGAACAUCAUCACAGAUACAGGGUAAGA